rnacentral:lncRNA from 1 species
UGUAGAUUACUAUAAUCUAUUAAAUCUCAAAUAUGAAAACAAAAUCACAAAAAUAAUAAUUGAACAAUAGAGUUUAAAAGACGAAAAAUUCGAAAUACAUAGAAGAGGGAAAUCUCAUAAAAUACUUGGUGAAUAUGAGAACCUCACAAAAAAAUCAAACAAUAUUAUUCAAAGACGAAAAAUCCGAAAUACAAAAUACUUGAUAAUUGUGAAAACAAAAUCACAAGACAUCUCACAAAAUACUUGUUGACUUCGAAUUUACCUUUAUCCAUGGUUGAAAAAUCUUUUGAAUUAAUUGUGAGAUUUCUUGAACAAAGUGUAGGAAAUUGGAAGAGUUGAUUUUCUUGAAUAAGGAAAGGCGAUAACAAUGGUGAAAAGGAAAGAGAGAGAAAUGAGCAAUUUGGGGUAAAACCUAGAAAGAGAGGUAAGUGGGUAAUGGGGGUAUAAUUAUUUUUAUUUUACGGAUGAGGGAGUAAAAAAGGGUCUAACUUGAGCAUGAUUUGAGAAAUAAAAGGAAAAGAAAUUAAUUAUAUUAGGAUACAAUUAAUCUUCUAAAAUAUUGACAUAUUGACAUUUUUAAUAAUUAUUUUUAAGUGUAGAUAUUUUUUAUAAUUAUAUUAGGGAUUAUGACUAGUUUGCUAAUUUUUCCUAUUUUGAUUAUUCUUUAGAUAUGACUUCUAUAAAUAGCUAUUUGUGAACUUCACCUCAUCAUAUAUGGCAAAUUAGGCACUUUCAGGACAACAAGGGUUACAACUUUCAAUUGACAAUUGGCACAAACAGCCGCAGACGUAUAAAAGUUAUAUUUUAUAAAUUUAUAAGAGAGAAAAAGUUGAUUUAUAUUUUCAAAUAAUUAUCCUACAUUAGCAAAAAUUGCUUUCAAAGCAAUGACUUGCCACCACACAAUGUUUUAUUUUAUAAGUUAUUUUUGUUCUCAUUUUGUUAUUAAUUAUCAAACUAGUUUUGAAUAUGUAGCAAGAGUUAAUGGGAAAUGGAGGGAAGAUGAAAAGAGAGGAACUUGAAAAGUUGGGAACUUGAAGAAUUGGAAACUUGAAAAGUCCUUUUAUGCUUUAGUGAAAAGGCAUUUCUCCCUCAUCGGUGGUGGAAAGAAAAAUAAAAGAGUUUAAAUAUAGAAACACUCCUAUUAAUUGUUAAAAGGGUUGGAAAGAGGGACCCCUUCGCACCGUCGUCGUCGUCGCUCGCUCGCUCGGCUUCGGCGACAAAGUUUGUUUAAAUUAUUUAUUUAAUUAAUUAAAUUAAAUUAAAUGGCCAAAACGUCAAAAUGUUUCAAUUAAUUAGUUAAUUAACCAAAAUGUUUCGGCUAUUCAGUUAAUUGACCGACCUGACUCGGAUCCGCGCGCGACCCAUUUUAUUUAAAUUCUUUUCCGUUUUAUUUAAAUUUCCCGCCGUUGGAAGUGACUGUUCUAAAAGGUUGCAACUUUCAUGAACAGUCAUGACCGUUUGAAAGGUUGCAAACUUUCGUGAAUGGUCGUGUGGAUUCUGAAAGGGUUGAUUCUUCAGAUUUAUUAAUUACGAUUUUUUCUGAUUUCUUCUUCUUCUUCUGCACAAAGUUUCUUCAUAUACUUUACUGUUAUUGAGUGGUUCGAUGAUACCAGAGUUUUGGGUAUCAAUACACUGGUGAUUGAGAUCAUUCUAUCCUGGGAGGACAUAUUCCAAAUCAAACCUCAAAUACUAGAGGGGAAUAAUUUCUUUAAGGGGGCACUGUGCAGUCAGUGGGCUUGAUCUUUUCCGUUCUGUCUUUUUCCAGAUUCUAGUAUGUUUUUCAGAUUUUAGUUGUUCUAAAUUAAUUUCUGUUCUUCUAUUUUUACUAGUUCAUUAAAACUUUGAUUACUUCGUGUUUCUGCAAAGUUUAUUGGAAUCAGAAAUUCUGUUUUAAACACAGAUUGACAACAAUUAUAACAAAUUGUUCGAUUUCAGCAGUCCCAUAAUGGAUCAAAAAGAUUUAUAUUGAAUGUCCUGCUCCUGCCUGAACUUUCCCAUCAACCAAACCAUACUCCAUUAAUGCAUUCUUUUAGUUUUGUAUAGGUCUUCGAUCAAUAUUGAUCUCGGAGGUUUUGGUACUUCAACUCGUCCAAUGUACUUUAUUUUUCUUUAAAUAAACACAAUGGGGGUCGAUGCCGAAUCUGUUAUGAAUAUGAGAAUCAAAAGUUACGCAUUGUUAUCAAUGUAACAGUAAAGCUAGUUACAAAAUGUUAGUUACAAAAGUUUGUUAUAAUGUUAGUUAAAGGUAACUCUAGUUAAUUUAGACUAACUAGCUUGUACAGUUAAGAUACACUAUAAAUAGAGUAGUGUAGGCAUUAUUUGUAUUGUAUCAGAUUAUCAUUCAAUACAGUGAAAAGUUCUUCUUCUUUGAUUGAAUCAUCUGCUCUAUAAUUCUUCAUGGUAUCAGAGCCAUGGAUGCUCUCCUGAUGUAUUCCGCAAAUUAGGUUGUUAAACUCUUCUGCUUGCAGUGCACACGAAAGGCUCUCCAACAGAGUCUGCAUUAUCUUAGAAGCAGUCCUGUUUUUACUUCGUUUGUUGCUCCUGAUUCAGUGAAGAUCUUCAUCAAUGACGAUAGGUGAAGGCUCCAAUCCUGACACUCUUACUCCUUCAGCUGGUGGUAGAGAAGCCAUAGUUGAUUCACAUCAUCCUUUGUUUCUUCAAGCGUGUGACACUCCAGGUAGUUCACUGGUCUCUACUCAAUUAAUUGGAUCUGAAAACUAUUCUUUGUGGAGCAGGUCUAUGAAGAUAGGUCUGCUAGGCAAAUGUAAAAUAGGAUUUGUGGAUGGAUCUAGUUCUAAAGAGAAGUUUCAAGCUUCCUUCCAUAAUAUGUGGGAGAAAUGUAAUGCAAUUGUCCUUUCAUGGAUCAUGAUUUCUGUUAGUCGAGAACUUCUCAGUGGGAUAGUUUAUGCUAAUAGUGCUCAACAAGUUUGGAAUGACCUGAAGGAAAGGUUUGAUAAGGUUGAUGGAUCACGUAUAUUCUAUCUACAUAAGGAGAUUGCUACACUCACUCAAGGAAUAUUGUUUGUUUCCAUCUAUUUCUCCAGGUUUAAAGAGCUUUGGAUGGAGUUUGAUUCUCUCAUGCCCUGUCCUGGGUGUGACUGUUUAGUUUCAAAGACUUAUGCAAUUCAUUUUGAGUAUCAAAGGCUUAUGCAGUUUCUCAUAGGUCUCAAUGAGUCUUACAACCAAUGUAGAAGCCAAAUUAUGAUGAUGGAUCAUGUUCCCAGUGUGAACAAAGCCUAUUCACUAGUGAUUGUAGAAGAGAGUCAGAGGAUCCUUGGUAAGGCAAAUACUGUUGUUGAGAUGCCUUCUAACCAUGGAUACAAGAGGCUCUAGCCUUCUUUAGUGGCAGUAAUCAUACCUACUCAGGCUCCAGAGGAUCGGGAUCUGGUGGUCCUGGUACUACUGGAUCUACUUCCAGACCUAAGAAGCCAUUUAACAGUUAUUGUUUUGUGAUUACUGUAAUUGGAAAGGUCACACAAGGGAUCACUGCUACAAACUUCAUGGUUAUCCAUCUGACUGGAAAGGUAAGAAGAAAAUCAGUCCUGGUUCAACUAGCACAACUAGUUUUGCUGCUGCUAGUUCUGGUCCUAGUAGCCUCUCAAGCAGAUCUCCAUCAGGUGUUAGCAAUACUGGUGUCUCUCAUGCAUUUAUGACUAACCUGCAGCAUCAACAGUUUCAACCUCAUGCAACUUCACAGCCACAACAUCCUCAUUUCUCCCACCAGCAGUACAUGCGGAUCCUGCAAUUGCUAGAUCAGGGAAAUGGGAAGACUACCGCUGAUGCUCUUGUGUCUACCUCAGGUACAUCAGGUUUGUUUCCUACUUCCAAGUGGAUAUUUGAUUCAGGAGCUUCCAAACAUAUGGUUCAUAGUCUGCGUAUGCUCAAUCACUAUACUACCUUGUCUGAGUCUCACGAAGGAAAAAUGUAUCUUCCUACUGGCAAUCUUGCACCAGUUAGUCAUAUUGGCUCAUCUCAGAUCUUAGGAGGGGCUGAGAUCACUAAUAUGCUUCAUGUUCCUACUUUUCAAUACAACUUAUUAUCUGUUCCUAGACUAACAAAGGAGUUGAAAUGCAGUGUUAUGUUCUAUCCUAAUUUCUGCAUUUUCCAGGACCUCUCCAAUGGAAAAGUGAGGGGGAUUGGCAAGUUGGAGAAUGACAUGUAUGUGAUUACUGCUGACUGUCAUUUGCAUUCUCAAGGAGCAGAAUUGAGUUCACCUAAAGAUCAAGCUAUUGCAGUUUCUAAGUCUUGUCUUGUACCUUCUUUACAUUCAUCUAGAAUAAGUCUAUCAUUGUGGCAUAAAUGCCUAGGUCAUGUACCUUUUAAUACUCUUAGACAAUUUAGUUCUUUGCAACAGUUGCAUCCUACUACUGAUGCACCUUAUACUGUAUGCCCUUUAGCUAAACAAUCAAGACUAUCUUUUCCUUUAAGUGCUACUUCUACUACUGCUUGCUUUCAACUUUUACACGCUGAUGUAUGGGGUCCCUAUAGAGUUCCAACUCAUGAUAAUAACAGGUAUUUUUUAACCUUAGUAGAUGACUACUCAAGGUAUACCUGGAUAGUUUUGCUUCCCUCCAAAUCUGAGGUCAUAGUUGCACUCAAAAAUUUUCUUAUUAUGGUUGCAAAUGUUUUCUCUUCCUUAGUCAAAAUAUUAACGACAGAUAAUGGCUGUGAGUUUUUUAAUUCCCAAAUGACUGUUCUCCUGGAGUCUCUAGGUAUUUUACACCAAAGUUCAUGCAUAUAUACCCCUCAACAAAAUGGAGUUGUUGAAAGGAAACAUAGACAUAUACUUAAUGUUGCUAGAGCCUUGAGGUUUCAAUCUAGCAUGCCUCUUAAAUUUUGGGGUGAGUGUGCUCUUACUAGUGUCUAUUUGAUCAACAGAUUGCCUUCAUCUAUUUUACACAACAAGACAUCUUAUGAGUUGCUUUAUCUUAGAUCUCUUUCUCUUGAUCAUCUUCGAGUCUUUGCGUGUCUUGCUUUUGCUUCUGAAGUCAGAAAGGUUGACAAGUUUACUCCCAGAGCUUUCCCUACUGUGUUCUUGGGGUAUUCUACAUUACAAAAAGGGUACAAAUUGUUUUCUCUUCAUACUUAAGAGUUCUUAGUGUCCAGAGAUGUAGUUUUCAAAGAGGACAUAUUUCUCUUUACUCAAACCACUUCCUCAUGUCCUCCUUUGUUUCCUAUCUUUCAGUUUACAGAGUCCUUUACUAAGUCCACUCCAGUUCCUCCCAUUGCUACUCUUUAUUCUUCUCUUUGUCCAGCUUCUAUAGUAUCUGAAUGUCCCUUUUCUCCUGCCUAUGCAUCUGAUAUGUCUGCAACUGUUCCCUUAAGAAGAUCCUCUAGAAAUUCCAAACCUCCAAUUUGGCUUCAUGACUAUGUUACUACUCAGCCUAAGUCCACUUGUCUUUAUCCUUUAUCCAAUCAUGUCAGCUAUCGCCAUUUGUAUCCACUUUAUGGCUUAGCCUUAGCUGCAUAUUCCAGCAUCCUUAAGCCUAAGUCUUCCAUAAGGCUGCUCUUAAUCCUUUGUGGGUCGUAGCUAUGCAAGCUAAGAUCAAAGCCUUGGAAGAGAAUCAUACCUGGUCUAUCACUGAUCUUCCUUCUGAUAAACAUCCAAUUGGCUGUAAAUGGGUGUUUAAGGUGAAAUAUCUUGCAUCUGGUGCUGUUGAAAGAUACUAGGCUAGACUUGUUGCAAAGGGGUUCAAUCAGAAAGAAGGCUUGGAUUAUUCUGAAACUUUCUCCCAUGUUGCUAAGAUGGUUACUGUGCGGUCUGUUCUAGCUGUGGCCUCUGCUAAACACUGGCUUGUGUUCCAAAUGGAUGUCCAUAAUGCAUUUCUCCAAGGUGACCUGGUUGAGGAUAUGUAUACGGUUGUUCCUCCAGGCUUUUGCAGACAGGUGGAGUCUGGUAAAGUCUGCAAAUUACACAAGUCACUAUAUGGUUUAAAGCAGACACCUAGGCAAUGGAAUUUUAAACUAAUAGAAGCAUUACUUCAGCUGGGAUUUGUUCAAAGCCACUAUGACUAUUCUCUAUUUACCAGAAGUGAAAAUAAAAAGUUGAUAAUAAUUCUUGUUUAUGUUGAUGACCUUCUGAUAACUAGAAGCUGCAAGAAGCUGAUUGACAGGACCGGGAAUGAUCUGCAACUUAAAUUCAAAAUGAAAGACCUAGGAGAAUUGAAGUUUUUCCUUGGAAUUGAAUUCGCCAGAUCAAAAGAAGGUUAUAUUAUGAGCCAACGUAAGUAUGCCUUGGAACUUGUCUCAGAAAUGGGUCUAAGUGGUGCCAAGCCAGUCAACACUCCACUGGAUCCAAACCUCAGACUAACCUCUAUUGAAUAUGACUCACAUGUACAAGAGGCAAACACUACAUCAAGUGACAAACCUUUGGAAGAUAUUGGUAGAUAUCAAAGCCUUGUAGGGAAACUGUUGUAUCUAACUAUGACCAGGGUAGAUAUCUCCUUUGCAGUACAAGUUCUAAGUCAAUAUAUGCAUGCACCCAAAGAGUCUCAUAUGGAAGCUACACUUAGAGUAGUCAAAUACAUCAAGUCAGCUCCAGGUUUGGGUUUGUUUAUGCCCUCACAAGAUUCUAAUCAAUUGACUGUUUACUGUGACUCUGAUUGGGGUACUUGCUUACAAACGAGAAGAUCUGUGACUGGAUACUUAGUGAAGUUUGGAAAUGCUCUUGUAUCUUGGAAGGCAAAGAAGCAAGAAACAAUUGCUAAAAGUUCUGCAGAAGCUGAGUUUAGGAGUAUGGCAUCUGCAGUAGCUGAAAUUACUUGGCUCAUUGGCAUACACAGUGAACUAGGAGUAACCAUCAAACAACCAGUUGAUCUAUUCUGUGACAGCAAGGCUGCAAUUCAGAUUGCAGCCAACCCUAUUUUUCAUGAGCGAACUAAGCAUUUUGAUAUUGAUUGCUAUUUUGUUAGAGAGAAACUGCUUAAAAAAAUGAUUCAGACACAUCAUGUAUCCACAAAAGAUCAGCUGGCAGAUCUGCUCACAAAAGGUUUAUGGAAAGCUCCACACUCACAUCUUAUGUCCAAGCUGGGAAUGAAAGACAUUUUUCAGCCAUCAGCUUGAGGAUGGGUGUUAUGAAUAUGAGAAUCAAAAGUUACGCAUUGUGAUCAAUGUAACAGUAAAGUUAGUUACAAAAGUUUGUUAUAAUGUUAGUUAAAGGUAACUCUAGUUAAGUUAGACUAACUAGCUUGUACAGUUAAGAUACACUAUAAAUAGAGUAGUGUAGGCAUUAUUUGUAUUGUAUUAGAUUAUCAUUCAACACACAGAAAAGUUCUUCUUUGAUUGAAUCCUCUGCUCUGUAAUUCUUCAGAAUCCCCUAUCACCACCGAAGGUGAAAGCCUGGAUGGAUGAUAUUAAAAUAAAAAUAAAAACGAGACCUUCAGCCUUUAGAACAAAAGAGAUUAUAAUGCAACUUAAUGUCAUCUAGUCCAAAUUUUGCACUAAGAGAAAUUCACUGCCGGUAAUAUAAUAAGAUAUAUGCUUUUGCUGAGAAAUAUUGGAAACAGAUUUUGUCAGCAUAAAAUGCACUUCUUGUUGGUUGUUAGGUAAUUAGACUUGCUUUCAACUUUCAAGCAUAACGAAUAGUUUAGUUCAACAUGUAUAGUAGAAAAAACAAUAGGCAAAAAAUGGUCUAAAUUUCAAAUGAUUGGUCGACGAAUAUAGAAAAGACUUAGAAUAGCAAUUCAUCUUCUGUAGGAAACAAGUACUGGUCUAUCUAUCAAGUUGGUAAUUUCAAAAAUCAUCAAUACUUCCAACCAAAACAAAUUGAAUUAGUUAAUUGUACUCCCAAAGUAAAAGGAUAUUACACUUUUAGUCACUAAGAGGUAGUUUGACCGGAGAUAUUAGAGAAAAUAAUAUUUGUAUUAGCUUUGAUACUACAUAAUUUAUUGUUUGGUAUACCUAUAUAAUUAAUUAUAUAGAGUGAUACAUUAUAUUCAGUAUUAUUAUAUAUUCACCAUGACAUUAACAAUAUAUACUAGUACUAUUCCUAUAUAUUCUAGUACAGUAUACUCCAAUUGGAUUACAUUUUUUAGAAAUUUAUACGAUAUAUAAUAUAUAUGUGUUAGUAUUUGAUGCAACAAACCAGACAAACGAUAAAUGAAAUAUCAGCAUGAACAUUACUAACCAUAUUAAGUAGUAUUCUUAUGUGGCAUUUCAAUCCCUAAAAGAUAAUAAUUACAUAUAAGUAUAUAACCAUUUAUAAAAGGCAAGACUUCGUUACACUACGACAAAGUGAUAUUUAGUGGGAAUCGAUUUUUCUCUUAGUAUUGCCACAAAAAAAAAUUGCGACAAUAUUUUGCGAUAAUUGAGUUAAUUCAAAGAUGCUACAGUUUUUCACGAUAUUUAUAUAGAAUGCUGAUAGUAAGUAUCAAAAAUUAUUAUUAUUAUUAAAUAUAUUAUAACAAUUAGAAUCUUAUUUUAAUCAAUCAAAUUUUAGUCAUUAAUUCUUGCAUAUGCCAUGUGUCUCACAUCCAAGCAAGAACUUGGGAAAAAUGAAGAAAAGAGAAAUAGAGAGUAACCGGAUCCAUUAUAAGGCAUAUUGUCAUUUGUCCGUAUUUAUAAGUUAAAUUUUAAAAAAAUUCAAACAACUGCCAGUGGCCAUAAAUGAAAAUGAUGCAUCCAGAAAAAUACGUCUGGACCUUCUGUAGUAAGGAAUGGUCUCUUCCAAGUCCAAUAAAAAAGACUGCAAAGUCCAUCCACUACUACUGUAACAUGAGGCUAAACUGCACUCUCAAUACAUAGAAAAAUUAACCAACAAUGCAUUAUCUAUCACACAUUCAUAUCCUGGAUGAGAUAAGAUUCACCAUCUUCCGACACGUGGCACUUCUAUUCUUGUCUAUUAAAAUAAAAGACACUUAGCUCCAAUUUCUUAUCUUUCAUGUGGCCAUUAAAUUUUGUAAUAUCAACAGCCACAUAAUCCAAUGGUCACCCUUCAUCUAAGAUGAGGUUUCCUUUGUUUCUAUCCGUUAGAUUAAAAAAAACGUCUAACACCUUAUCAUUAUAUAAAGGGAGUAAGCCACAGUGUAAUAAGCAUCUUAAAAAAAAAACAAGUUUCUUUGAAGUAAAAAAAAAAAAAACGUUUUAUAGCUAAGUAGUAACGUAAUGGCUUCCUCAAUUGUCUCCUCAGCAGCCGUUGCUACCCGUAGCAAUGUUGCUCAAGCUAGCAUGGUCGCACCCUUCACCGGACUCAAAUCCGCCGCGUCUUUCCCCGUUACUAAGAAGAACAACAACGUUGACAUUACUUCCCUUGCUAGCAACGGUGGACGUGUUAGAUGCAUGCAGGUUCAAAUAAUAAUUAUCAGUAUAUAUAUAUAAAAUUUAAAUUAACUAGUUGUCGUUUAUUUAUAAAAUAAAUGUGUUAAUGUAGGUGUGGCCACCAAUUAACAUGAAGAAAUACGAGACAUUGUCAUACCUUCCUGACUUGUCCGAUGAGCAAUUGCUCAAGGAAGUUGAGUACCUUUUGAAAAAUGGAUGGGUUCCUUGCUUGGAAUUCGAGACUGAGGUCAAUAUCUCCUACAUACUUUUACAUGUGUAAUUUAAUUUGUUGAAGGAGAAAAUAAAUGUAUGUUAUAUUGUUGUGUACAGCACGGAUUUGUGUACCGUGAGCACAACAGCUCACCAGGAUACUACGAUGGUAGAUACUGGACCAUGUGGAAGUUGCCUAUGUUUGGGUGCACUGACGCAACCCAGGUGUUGGCUGAGGUUCAAGAGGCCAAGAAUGCGUACCCACAGGCCUGGAUCCGUAUUAUCGGAUUCGACAACGUUCGUCAAGUGCAGUGCAUCAGUUUCAUUGCCUACAAGCCAGAAGGAUACUAAAUUUCAUCAAACCUAUAAUUAAUUACUCCUAUCGACAUGUUUUUUGCGUUUUGUACCGGUGUAUUUUCCUCGAUUCCGACCAAGUUAUGAGAAAUUAAUAAUGAUGAAUCUUUAAUUAUAUGUUUUUUUGUGGUGUGUAUGAGUUUUAUUAUCCAAACUAAAAAUCUCUCUUUAAAUAUGAAAACGACACAUUAACUACUCCUUUUAUCCUAACAACUUUAGCACAACGAUUAAAUAGCCACCGCAUGUGACAUUAAUUAUCUUAAAUGAAAAGAAUUGUAUCACAUUGAGACAUCGAUUCAAUAAUUAGUGAGAAUGAAAAAGACUUCAUUUUCUGCCUGGAAAAAUGCCGUAACUUAAGUAAGAUUUUUUUUUUAUUUCACAAAUUAGUGAAUUCAAAUCUUACACUUUUGAUUCAUCAAUGUAAAAAGAAUAAAUUAAAAAUCCUAUUAUUUGUAUUAUUUAUGUGAGGCACAAAAUAAAUAUCUUCGUAAGAGUAACCAACCUUCUAGGCUUAUCAUGAUCAGUUGGGCCCUGGAUGUUUACACUUGUGGCCACUGGCCAUGCUCAACAAGGACCGGUCAAUUAUUGUAUUUUGUUGUUAUCCUUUUGUCUUUUUUAUUGGUUUUUUUUUUUAAAGAGUUUGAAGUUUUAUGUAUCGAAUAGUUGAUAUGUUAAUAGUUAUUAAAUACAAAUUUAUAUAUAUAUUCUAAAUUAACGUAUAAUAUACAUAAAUGGUGUAUAAUUUUUUUAUAUUUGACUAACGGCUAAAAUUCAUUUAAAUUGAGCAAGUAAAUGUAUUAUGACCCCUAAAUUUUUUUAGCUCAAACACCAAUUUAGUGAUUUUUGCUUUAAAAAAACUGAAAAUUGUAUUGUUGGUGAUCAGUAGAAAGUGUUGAAGAAGAGAAAUCAUUGUAAGUUUGAAGAAGAGAAAAUACAUAAAACUCCCCCCUAAACUUGGCAGUACAACUUACUUUAGCACUUAAACUACACAGGCUUUUAAUAUCCCCAUUAACAUCUUUGAAGUGAAUUAAAUACAACUCUAAAUACUGACUCCUCCACAGCGAUAGCACUACUGGAGCAUGACCAUUCGCAAUACACUAACAUUAUAUCUGAAUGCAGGUCACUAAUGCAGCAGGGGAAUACCAAAACCACUCCACACAUUCAGGGAGUAGAACAAGGUGGCGGACAUACUGGCUAAAAUGGGUAGGACAAUACAAUCCAACAGCGGGAGGAUGCAGAUUUUGGAAGCCCCACCACAUUAUGCCUUCAAAGCAUGGGAAGCUGACAAGAAUGGGCUUUAUUUUGAUAGAAUGGUAGUAGUAACUAGUCCCAACGAGACAACGGAGAAUCCCCCUAUUUCAAACUAUGUAAUGAACAAUGAAGUCCGUGUGCUUCACCUUUAAGCUUUUUAUAUAAUUACUCUAUUUCUAUCAAAAACAAAUAAAUACAACCCUGAGAAUAGAAUACCACUCUCACCUGUCACAUCAUAACCAUGUAAGCACCACGUCAUUAAUUUUCAAUCUUUUUUUUGCUUAUUCACCUUUUCUCUUAACCAUUUUCUUAAAAUUUAUUACACUAAUCAAUUAAUUUAAAAUACAUUUUAAAAUCAAAAUUGCCCCAUCUUCUUCCACCCCUUCUCUUCUACCCCCCCCCCCCUACUCUUUCUCUUUCUUGAUUUUCACCAUUUUCAACCUACACUAACUUCUUCUUUUUUUCCCAAAUUUACAGCCUUCAAUAGUUGUUUUCUUCUUCAACAUUCAUAAAAAAAAAAAUUAAAAAUAGCAUACUUACUUUUUCUUCUUCGAACCCUCUCUCUCCCACAAAUCUGCCCCUUGGAGAAUAAUAUUUUGUGAAAGUUAUUUUUUGCUUAACAACUCAAAUGAAAAAUGAAGGUUGUGUAAGAAAGUUGAUAGACCCACAUUUUUUGCAUCACAACUAAUUGGAUUCAAAAUUGGUUACUUAAAAUUCAAUAAAGUUUACAUUUAAUAAUAUGAAUUAGGUGUUGGGUUUUGUGAUUAGUGAAGGAAAGGUGAGGUGAGGGAUGAAGAUGAAGGAAAAAUUUUAAUAUGGGAGAAGAAAGGUAUAAGGAGUGCUUCAAUGGGGAAGAA